GACAGAGGGUGCAAACGUUUGUUCGGAAUUACUGGGCGUAAAGCGCGUGUAGGCGGCCCAGCAAGUCGGAUGUGAAAGCCCUGGGCUUAACCUAGGAAGUGCAUUCGAAACUGCUGGGCUUGAGUUCUGGAGAGGAAGGCGGAAUUCUCGGUGUAGCAGUGAAAUGCGUAGAUAUCGUGAGGAACACCAGAGGCGAAGGCGGUUACCUGGACAGUUACUGACGCUCAGGCACGAAAGCGUGGGGAGCAAAAGGGAGUUAGAAACCCU
rnacentral:rRNA from 1 species